GACACCACUCGAUUUCGUCUCCGUUCCUCUUUCUACGGGGCUCCCGUUCGUGAAAUAACACUCCGCCCCCGAAGCCCAGACACAGCGAGAGAUUUGUCUUGGACGGCACCGGGGGACUCGAGAUUUAAGAAGAUCCAGAGAGAAGCUCGCGGGAAAUAGGCGCACAAUGCGUUCCACUGUGCGUCCCUGGCUUCGAUCAGAAACACCGUUUCACCAAUGGCGGGUCCCGCGCGGAGGACCCACGGACGCCUGGCGGUGAAUCAACGAACAAGAAUCCGAUAGGGGACGGAAAGAGGCUGCGGUUUGAAGAAUCUGUACGUACGCCCACGCACGUUUCGAACGAAUCCUCGUUGCGACGAUCAACGCGGUCGUUGGACCAGCCACGGGGAACCGUCCGCCAUUGGAACACUUCAUGGAACCCCAUGGAUCCCUUACAAGGCCUCACACUUUGUCAUCCAUCGCCACGAAACUUAGAGAUGCGCUCGCGCCGAUAGCUACUGGCGAUUCGCUCGUUUAACAGCGUAACGGCGAGCCAGCAGGAAUCAGGGCCGGUGAGUGGCAUCGUGGAAGGAGAACACAGUGCACCGGGGGAACAGAGAGAGAGAGAGGAAGAUAAAAACGUGCCUGGACCCCAGAAGGGUGCUAGAAAGUGGGUACAGUCAACGAGGAGAAUAUAGAAAACGAGCGUUGCUACUUUUUUUAUUUUUUUUUUUCUUCUUUUCAGUUUUAUCGUGUUCGCGGACCCUGUUCUCGAUUUGUAUCCAGAUUUUAAUCCUGAACGAUUCUGGGAACGAUCGGAAGAGUGGAUAUGAUAAUUUAGAUUUAGCGGAACGUGGUGGAAUCUUACAGAUUUUAAUAUAAGUGGUGGAUGCUAGAAUGUGCACGGAAAAGGAGAACUUUGUAGGUUAUGUGCGUUCACGGGUAGCCGUAUUAGCAACCUGGCGAGUGAUAUUUUGAGAUGAGUUCGUCUUUAUUGUGAGUGGAAUGAUGCAACCCGGUUCAGACUUCGGACUCGUAUCGAUACGCGUUAGGUUAGGUUUGCAAUCCUGCGGGAGUAAUUAGAUAAGCAUAACCUUGAAUGUUCUUGCUCUUUUAUGAACUGAGAGCUCGUAAGGAGAGUUAAGAAUUAAACGAAUCCGCGAUUUUCCAUAAUACCUUCGCGAAAUGUUCGGAAUGGAACAGGUGCAGUAAUUACAUAUGCAAUUUACAUUCAACGAACGAUUUACCGUACAACCCUGCGAGAAACUAAUUCACCCUUCUGUUUAAUUCCCAUGAAUCAUUCGACGAGGCUAUAAGCGUACAAAACGCACGGUAGCUCCUGUGUUUCUUCCAUGCCCGUCCGCCAGAGGUCUCCGGAAACCCGAUCCUCUAAUUAUUUCGAGCAGUGGUAUAAUAGAUGCGUAAUUGGAAGCGCAGUGCUCGUAGUUGUUCGGCUGAAAAAUCGCGGGUUUUUCGUUGGACGGUUCGCCGGGUGAUUUAAUGAAGUGGAAACGAAAGAAGCACGAGUGUCAUAAUAAAGGAAGACGGGAUCAGGAAUAGAAGGGGGGGACAAAAACAUGUCCAGGUCCUACGGAGGUGCUAGGCGGCGAGUACAGUCGCGAAAGAGAAUAUAAUCUCCGAUCGCCAUACUCUGCCCGGCGGCAGUCGUCUGACAAACGGAAGCUGUUAGGUCCUUUCGCGAACGCUUGUCUUUCAGGCGUGUCGUCCUGGCAAAAAACUGGAAAAUGCUAACGCCGGUGGCUGUCGUGUGACCUGCUGGCGGGGCACGCCUUUUUUAGAAAUUAUUUCCCCAUACACUGCAUAACAAUGGC